rnacentral:rRNA from 1 species
GAUGAACGCUGGCGGCGUGCCUAAUACAUGCAAGUCGAGCGAACGGACGAGAAGCUUGCUUCUCUGAUGUUAGCGGCGGACGGGUGAGUAACACGUGGAUAACCUACCUAUAAGACUGGGAUAACUUCGGGAAACCGUAGCUAAUACCGGAUAAUAUUUUGAACCGCAUGGUUCAAAAGUGAAAGACGGUCUUGCUGUCACUUAUAGAUGGAUCCGCGCUGCAUUAGCUAGUUGGUAAGGUAACGGCUUACCAAGGCAACGAUGCAUAGCCGACCUGAGAGGGUGUGGACACACAGGGGAACAGAGACGGGGUCCAGCCUCCUGGGGGAGGAAGCAGUGGGAAUUCUUCCAGAGGGGGCGAAGGCCGGACGGAGAAACGCCGGGGGAUGAAGGAAGGUUUUGGGAUCUAAAACCUUUUUUAUGGGGAAAGAACAUUUGUGUAAGUAUGUGUCCACAUUUGGAGGGUACUUAAUAAAAAACCCACGCCUAGCUACGUC